UAAGAAAUGUAUCUCGUCCACUAGCAACAAGUUGUUGUGUCGGCCCGCUCGGUCAGUCAAUAAUUGGUCGCUCAGUUAAUAUCAUCAUCAGUUGUUGGACGCUACACAAACGGUUCUUACGUACACACGUACGCCUUGAUACUUAAAUUUACAUUUUCGAAUCUCAGCGGAAAUCCUCCUCCCGUACAUCUAGUAAUAUCUCACAUCGAAAAGCAGUUGAUCAACAAUAUGUAUCCAUUCGGUUCUGGAAUGCCUCAACACCAACAACAACAACAACAACCACAGUAUCAGCAAUCGAAUGAUCAACCUAAGGUGCCGUUUGGCGUUGGUUGGGUAACCGCACCGAUGCCACAAAAUCCACCAUACCCAAUGCCAUCCAAUUCCCCGCCGUACGGCCAACCACAACAACAACAACAACAAUAUCCAAGCGGCGGCGGCGGCGGAGCUCCAUAUCCAAUGCAUGCGCCAUAUCCCAGCAGCAGCAACAGCGGCUCCAACACAACAUCAGCUCCGUAUCCAUACCCAAGCAAUAAUCCACCCCACAACCAACACCAUCAUCAACAUCAACACCACCACCAACAAUCCUCGCACCAUCAUCACUACCAACAACAACAACAACAGCAGCAGCAGCACCAAGUGCAAUAUGGUCAUAGUCCAAAUCGUGGCCAAAGCCAAAGUUACACUCAAACUCAGUCUUACACGUCGUCAUCGAUGUCAUCGCCAUAUGGCUUCAAUGCUGGCCAACAGUCUUACGGCCAGAGUCAGUCUUACGGCUUUGGACAGGGGCAGGCACAGGGGUAUGGACAGGGGUAUGGACAGGGGCAUGGACAGGGGCAAGGGUAUGGUCAGAUGCAUGUGCAGCAGCAGCGGUCGCUCAAUCAACACUUUACAGCCCACAAAGAGGGAACUCCCACAUUGGUGCCGGCUCAGGGCUUUGAUCCGGUGAAGGAUGCCCACGAUUUGCGCAAGGCGAUGAAGGGUUUUGGCACCGAUGAGGACAAGCUCAUCGAGAUCAUCUGUCGCCGCAACAAUGAGCAGCGCCAGGAGAUUCAGCGCCAGUAUAAGACGCAUUUCGGCAAGGAUCUGAUCGAGGACAUCAAGUCGGAGACGAGCGGCAACUUUGAGAAGCUGCUCGUUGGCCUGUUGCGUCCCAUUGUCGACUAUUAUUGCAUCGAAUUGAACGAUGCGAUGGCUGGCAUUGGCACCGACGAGGAGGUCCUCAUCGAAAUCCUUUGCACGCUCUCCAACAUUGAGAUCCACACCAUCAAGAAUCAAUAUUUGCGCUUAUUUGGCGCACACUUGGAGUCCGAACUGAAAUCGGAGACGUCGGGCAACUUCAAGCGCCUGCUCACAUCGUUGUGCACAGCGGCGCGAGAGGAGAGCGGACGUGUCGAUCCCGCAAUGGCCAAAAACGAUGCCCGGGAGCUGCUCAAGGCGGGUGAACUGCGUGUCGGCACCGAUGAAAGCAUGUUCAACAUGAUUCUCUGCGAGCGCAACUAUCAGCAGCUUAAACUUAUAUUCCAAGAGUACGAGAGCAUGACGGGCCACUCACUGGAGAAGGCCAUCAAAAAGGAGUUCUCCGGCGACAUUAUGGAGGGCCUCAUUGCUAUCUACAAGUGUGUCACAAAUAAAACCGAGUAUUUUGCAUCGCGCUUGCACAAAUCAAUGGCCGGCAUCGGCACCAAUGACAAGCAGCUGAUUCGUGUCAUCAUCACGCGCAGCGAGAUCGAUUUGGCGGAUAUUAAGGUCGCUUAUGAGCGCUUGUACGGCAAGUCGCUGAAGAGUUGGAUUAAGGGCGAUACUUCUGGACAUUACAAACAUGCUUUGUAUGCGCUGAUUGGUGAACAACGCUCAUCUUAAGGGAACAACAAAAGACCAUUCGGGAGCAGAAGAAAAUAAACCAAACCAAAAAGGAAAAAAAAAUUGACAAAAAAAAAAAAAAAGAAAAGAAAUCUCUUUGCAUUAAUGCAUCAACUAUUUUGGUCUAGUGGUAUAUUGAUCUAUAAUGUCGACUCGAACUUCUUGCGCAUCUGUAGCUUGCGUUGUUUUCCGGGGAAAAUGCUGAAGCCUUUGAUCUUUAGAGCCUUCUUCAGCAUUCGCAGCGUGAAAUCGGGCAGCAAACUGGCGAUGA